rnacentral:tRNA from 1 species
GCGGAUAUGGCGGAAUUGGCAGACGCGUUAGAUUCAGGUUCUAAUGGGCGCAAGUUCGUGCAGGUUCAAGUCCUGUUAUCCGCACCA